GACGAACGCUGGCGGCGUGCUUAACACAUGCAAGUCGAACGGUGAAAGCGGAGCUUGCUCCGCUGGAUCAGUGGCGAACGGGUGAGUAACACGUGGGCAACCUGCCCCUCACUUCGGGAUAACUCCGGGAAACCGGGGCUAAUACCGGAUAUGACCUCCUUGGGCAUCCUUGGAGGUGGAAAGUUUUUCGGUGAGGGAUGGGCCCGCGGCCUAUCAGCUUGUUGGUGAGGUAGUGGCUCACCAAGGGGACGACGGGUAGUCGGCCUGAGAGGGUGACCGGCCACACUGGGACUGAGAUACGGCCCAGACUCCUACGGGAGGCAGCAGUGGGGAAUAUUGCACAAUGGGCGCAAGCCUGAUGCAGCGACGCCGCGUGAGGGAUGACGGCCUUCGGGUUGUAAACCUCUUUCAGCACCGACGAAGCGCAAGUGACGGUAGGUGCAGAAGAAGGACCGGCCAACUACGUGCCAGCCGCCGCAGUAA
rnacentral:rRNA from 1 species